GUGCUUGCUUCGGCAGCACAGAUACUAAAAUUGGAAUGAUACAGAGAAGAUUAGCAUGGCCCCUGUGCAAGGAUGUCACGCAAAUUCGUGAAGUGUUCCAUAUUUUU
rnacentral:snRNA from 1 species